rnacentral:lncRNA from 1 species
AAACAAAAUCAACGAAAAAAAAUCACAGCAGAAAGGGGCAAAGGGAGCAAAACUGCAAUAAAAGGGUCUGCGGCGGAAGGGUGAGGAAGUGGAGAGGAAGAGCGAUCGCAAUGGGUAAUGGUCGGGUCGGGUCGGCGUUGGCGUUGGCGGGGCGCAGCGUGUGAAAAGACGACAGCAACAGCAACAGCAGCACCAACAACAACAACUACGGCAGCAGCAGCAGCAACGGCUGCGGCAGCAACAACAACGACGACAGUAUGUCUGGCAGCGUAGCAUGAACUGGCGACAUUCUGUCUGGUAGCGAUCACAGUGCAGCGUUGCCGAACUUCAGGGCCCGCUCUCACUAUGUUGGUGGGGUACCUGUCUAUGGUGUGCUCUCUUUAUCUCAGCCUCUCUCUGUGGGACACGAACACAAACACAAACACAGUCGCUCUCGCAGAGACGGAAACGAACAAAAGAACGAACGAGCGAGCGAGCGGCAGACAGAGCGACGACUGAGAAUGAACUUCAAGCUGGAUGAACGCUACCCCCGACUCCCCCACCAACGUGCCAGGCAGAACAUCGAACGAGUUCUAGCAUUCAUUCGGCGUCAGAUAAAUGAAUCUCUCUCUCUCUCACACACACACAAGCAUGCACGCUGCGGAAACUGCUUUUUGGCGCUUGCUGCCCCACGUCGGCCCCAUAGCC